AUCGCUUCUCGGCCUUUUGGCUAAGAUCAAAGUGUAGUAUCUGUUCUUAUCAGCUUAAUCGGUGGACUAGUUGCUUUUGUCUAAUCGACAGCCUCAUAGUACCGAUUAAGCAGUGGGAACAGCCCUCCAUUUACAUUGUUCAUUAGUUUGUUUUAUUUUUUUAGGAUAUUCUGGUGAAAAUGUCUGUGGAGUAGACUCCUCGUCCGGAGGGCGGAGCUGAA
rnacentral:snRNA from 1 species